rnacentral:misc_RNA from 1 species
AUUGCCAUACCUGCAAAAAAUACAAUAGAGAUUAUUACUCAUGCAUACUUGCAAAUAAAAAUGCUACUAUCUAAUCUGAACAAUAUAACAAUGUGAACAAGUAGUUUACAAGUUUCACAACAGUACUGAGAGAACACAUAAAAUCGCACAAGUUAUUCACUUAACAAUAACCCAUAUUGACUUAUUUUUAACAAAAUACACACUCAUUACAAUCCAUGUUCAGCACUUUGAACAAUGUACAUGUUAGAAAAGUUGCAGCAUUUAUUGAACAUGUCAUCCCAUAAUGAUAAGGACCCAUAACCCAAAUAAGCUAAAGAAAACCUUUCCCAUUAUAUAUAUAUAUAUAUAAU